CCCUUAGAUGUCCUGGGCCGCACGCGCGUUACACUGAUGCAUUCAACGAGCUUAUAACCUUGGCCGAGAGGCCUGGACAAUCUUGUUAACGUGCAUCGUGAUAGGGAUAGAUUAUUGAAAUUAUUAAUCUUGAACGAGGAAUUCCUAGUAAACGCAGAUCAUCAAUCUGCAUUGAUUACGUCCCUGCCCUUUGUACACACCGCCCGUCGCACCUACCGAUUGGAUGGUCCGGUGAAGCCUCGGGAUUGUGGUUCUUGCCGCUUUAUUGUAGCGUGACCGCGAGAACUUGUCUAAACCUUAUCAUCUAGAGGAAGGUGAAGUCGUAACA
rnacentral:rRNA from 1 species